rnacentral:rRNA from 1 species
AGCGAACGUUAGCGGCAGGCCUAACACAUGCAAGUCGCGCGAGAAAAGGGCUUCGGCCCCCAGUAAAGCGGCGGACGGGUGAGUAACACGUGGGUAAUGUACCCCUCGGCGGGGGACAACAGCCAGAAAGGAUUGAUACUACCGCAUACGUCGGCGAGUGCUUCGGCGCUUGCCGGGAAAGGUGGCCUCUCCAUGGAUGCUACCACCGCGGGCGGAGCUCGCGACCCAUCAGCCCGUUGGCGGGGUAACGGCCCACCAAGGCAAAGACGGGUAGCUGGUCUGAGAGGAUGAUCAGCCACACUGGAACUGAGACACGGUCCAGACUCCUACGGGAGGCAGCAGUGGGGAAUAUUGGGCAAUGGGCGCAAGCCUGACCCAGCCAUGCCGCGUGAGUGAUGAAGGCCUUCGGGUCGUAAAGCUCUGUGGGGAGGGACGAAACCGUCCGCGGUGAACAAUCGCGGGCCUUGACGGUACCUCCUUAGCAAGCACCGGCUAACUCCGUGCCAGCAGCCGCAGUAAUAC